ensembl:piRNA 21ur-14342 ncRNA
UUCGUCUAAACCAAACAGUUA